GCUGUGAUAGCUGAGUGGGUAAGGUGUUGGACUUGAACUUCAAUGGGGAUUCCCCCUCCAGGUUCAAACCCUACUCACAGCG